GCCCAAGAGAUCGGGAUAACACCUGGAAACAGAUGCUAAUACCGGAUAACAAUAGAUGAUGCCUAUCAACUGUUUAAAAGAUGGUUCUGCUAUCACUCUUGGAUGGACCUGCGGUGCAUUAGCUAGUUGGUAGGGUAACGGCCUACCAAGGCGAUGAUGCAUAGCCGAGUUGAGAGACUGAUCGGCCACAUUGGGACUGAGACACGGCCCAAACUCCUACGGGAGGCAGCAGCA
rnacentral:rRNA from 1 species